rnacentral:tRNA from 1 species
GCCUGGCCGGCUCGGCUGGUAGAGCAUGCGACUCUUGAUCUCGGGGUUGUGGGUUCAAGCCCCCACGCUGGGCG